rnacentral:rRNA from 1 species
CUUGCUUUCUUUUGCUGGCGACCGGCGCACGGGUGAGUAACACGUAUCCAACCUGCCCUUUACUCGGGGAUAGCCUUUCGAAAGAAAGAUUAGUACCCGAUAGCAUAAUGAUUCCGCAUGGUUUCAUUAUUAAAGGAUUCCGGUAAAGGAUGGGGAUGCGUUCCAUUAGGUUGUUGGUGGGGUAACGGCCCACCAAGCCUUCGAUGGAUAGGGGUUCUGAGAGGAAGGUCCCCCACAUUGGAACUGAGACACGGUCCAA